GAGCGCCGUAGCAAUACGGAGCGGCGGACGGGAGAGUAACACGUGGGAACGUGCCCUUUGGUUCGGAACAACCCAGGGAAACUUGGGCUAAUACCGGAUAAGCCCUUACGGGGUAAAGAUUUAUCGCCGAAGGAUCGGCCCGCGUCUGAUUAGCUAGUUGGUGGGGUAAUGGCCCACCAAGGCGACGAUCAGUAGCUGGUCUGAGAGGAUGAUCAGCCUCACUGGGACUGAGACACGGCCCAUACUCCUACGGGAGGCAGCAGCGGGGAAUAUUGGACAAUGGGCGCAAGCCUGAUCCAGCCAUGCCGCGUGGGUGAUGAAGGCCCUAGGGUUGUAAAGCCCUUUCGGCGGGGAAGAUAAUGACGGUACCCGCAGAAGAAGCCCCGGCUAACUUCGUGCCAGCAGCCGCGGUAAU
rnacentral:rRNA from 1 species